rnacentral:rRNA from 1 species
GAUGAACGCUGGCGGCGUGCCUAAUACAUGCAAGUCGAGCGAACAGACGAGGAGCUUGCUCCUCUGACGUUAGCGGCGGACGGGUGAGUAACACGUGGAUAACCUACCUAUAAGACUGGGAUAACUUCGGGAAACCGGAGCUAAUACCGGAUAAUAUAUUGAACCGCAUGGUUCAAUAGUGAAAGACGGUUUUGCUGUCACUUAUAGAUGGAUCCGCGCCGCAUUAGCUAGUUGGUAAGGUAACGGCUUACCAAGGCAACGAUGCGUAGCCGACCUGAGAGGGUGAACGGCCACACUGGAACUGAGACACGGUCCAGACUCCUACGGGGGGCAGCAGUAGGGAAUCUUCCGCAAUGGGCGAAAGCCUGACGGAGCAACGCCGCGUGAGUGAUGAAGGUCUUCGGAUCGUAAAACUCUGUUAUUAGGGAAGAACAAAUGUGUAAGUAACUAUGCACGUCUUGACGGUACCUAAUCAGAAAGCCACGGCUAACUACGUG